UACGUAGGGUGCAAGCGUUGUCCGGAAUUAUUGGGCGUAAAGAGCUCGUAGGCGGUUUGUCGCGUCUGCUGUGAAAACUCGGGGCUUAACUCCGGGCCUGCAGUGGGUACGGGCAGACUAGAGUGCGGUAGGGGAGACUGGAAUUCCUGGUGUAGCGGUGAAAUGCGCAGAUAUCAGGAGGAACACCGGUGGCGAAGGCGGCUCUCUGGUCCAUGUCUGACGCUGAGGUACGAAAGCUAGGGGAGCAAACGGG
rnacentral:rRNA from 1 species